GGAGCAACAUCCCCGCGGGAUGGGCGGAAGGAGGAAGCCAGGCUGUAAAGAAAUAAAACCAAGAGCAGAACCGACUGCGAGAGGAGAGAGGGGAAGAGACAGGCUGGCUGGAAAGGACAGCUUUGCUGAGCCCGGGAGAAAAUGGUUUGAGUAAUUAUCAACGCCUGCCGCUAUGUGGCCAGGAAGAUGGGGACCCUGUGUGGCCGAGAGCUCCAGGAGCCACCACCCUGCCCGGCGCAGGCAGCCCCCCGCAGCCGCCACCAAAAUGUAAAGGCAGAGGUAUCAGCAACCCCCCAAGCAAGCGCUUCGCUUACCAGGAACAGCGGCCCCAUCCAAGAGCAGCCCUGCAGGUCCUGAGGGUAAAAGCCCUCGUGGUCCUUCCCUGAAGGCCAUGAGCUUUCUUCCCACCGGUUUCCCCAGGUGAGAAUCCGUUUGCUUGGAGUCCUACAGCCCAGGGAUUGGAAAAUACCAGCAAAUCCCUCCUGUACCUGCUCUCAACACAGAAGCACGACGAUAGAAAAUGUCCCGAUCAGUCCCUCAUUACCAGAAUUUUCUAAGUGGCAGAAAAAAACAUGGUCAACAUGUAUCAGAGGCUCCUGGCACUUUUGGGCCAUGGUGCAGCAGGGGAAGAGCAUGAGCCAUUGCAUCCUAGCAGCAAACCAGAUUUUUGUGCUGUGAAACCAAAUUGCGCUCCCAAUGACAUUGGUAUAUAUUCAGACAAUUUCCAGGAAGGUAAAAGCAGCUCCUGAGCUGGAGUGAGGAGUCUUAGAGCUCAGGUCUGCGGGAAGCCCGGGAUGUUUUGUACAACUCCCCUCCCCGUGCCCAGUAAGCUGGUGAAGCCGUCCCUACCGAGCAGCCAGUACGGUGUGACGGCGGCGCCCGCAGAGCAGAGGGCUGCAGGGACCGCACUCGGAUCCACCGCCCCCCCAGCAAACCCCCACCGUCACAGAGCAAUGACGGCAGA